rnacentral:rRNA from 1 species
UACGUAGGCAGCAAGCGUUGUUCGGAAUUACUGGGCGUAAAGAGUGUGUAGGCGGUGCUCUAAGUCUGUUGUGAAAUCUCCCGGCUUAACCGGGAGGGUGCGGCGGAAAACUGGAGUGCUUGAGGGUGGGAGAGGUAAGCGGAAAUUCCUGGUGUAGCGGUGAAAUGCGUAGAUAUCAGGAGGAAUACCGGUGGCGAAGGCGGCAUCCUGGACCGGCAUUGACGCUGAGGAGCGAAAGCCAGGGGAGCAAACGGG